GACGAACGCUGGCGGCGUGCUUAACACAUGCAAGUCGAACGGAAAGGCUCCAGCUUGCUGGAGUACUCGAGUGGCGAACGGGUGAGUAACACGUGGGUAAUCUGCCCUGCACUCUGGGAUAAGCCUGGGAAACUGGGUCUAAUACUGGAUAUGGCCUUUCUCCUUAUGGGGUUUGGUGGAAAGUUUUUCGGUGUAGGAUGAGCCCGCGGCCUAUCAGCUUGUUGGUGGGGUGAUGGCCUACCAAGGCGACGACGGGUAGCCGGCCUGAGAGGGUGAUCGGCCACAUUGGGACUGAGAUACGGCCCAGACUCCUACGGGAGGCAGCAGUGGGGAAUAUUGCACAAUGGGCGGAAGCCUGAUGCAGCGACGCCGCGUGAGGGAUGACGGCCUUCGGGUUGUAAACCUCUUUCAGCAGGGACGAAGCGUAAGUGACGGUACCUGCAGAAGAAGCACCGGCUAACUAUGUG
rnacentral:rRNA from 1 species